rnacentral:lncRNA from 1 species
CACAAUUAAUGUAGCUGUCUUCACCUGAUCACACAAAAUAUAUGAACAAACAGAUCAACAAACCGUAAACCUAAUCCGCGUCAUUUAGUUCAAUGAUAGUUUAGAGAGGGAAACAGACCGAAAUCAAAAGAGAUGGAUCGGAAGCUGGAUCGUUGGCAAAAUUGGAAUCUCUAGCACUGGAAGAUAAAGUCUUGAAGUGAAAGUCCCAAUCUUUGUCUCGGUCAACCAUUUUCAAACUGAAUCAAGCCCUUAUCUUCGUCUCUAGUGAUGCAUCAGAAGUGCUUUUAUCUUCUUUAUUUACGAGAAACAAAUCCAAGAGCCGAUUUUGAAGUUGCUGAACCAAUGAACGCAUGGACGUGGCAAUGAGCAAUAUUAACACUUAGCCUACACUAUAACUUCGGCCUGUGACGACUUGACUAGCGAAGUUCUUACAUGGGCUGGAGGGCUGGUCAUUGCUUUAUUGUAGAGAUUGUUUAGUCCUGUUUGUGGGAAAUUAAAUGCCAGUAUAAGUAGAAUCUAAAAGUUUUUAUUCGAUAGCUCCC